GCACUGUUGAAAUUCGCAUUAGUAGUCUGCACUAGUAGUCUGCACUAGUAGUCACAUUUAAAAAAAUUAAUUUUCACUUAUUUAUCAAUUAAUACACUUUUACUAUAUUCACUCCUGAGCUUUGCUAUUUGCUAUAAUAUAUGUAUACUCCACAAAUUUUGUUAGUAGAGGGUAUAGGCGGGUUCUACCUCACUUUUGGGUAGGGGGUAAGAUAGGGCCUAACCCAGGUCAGUUAUGACUCAUGCGCGGCUCUAACCCAAGUCGGUUCUGGGUCGGCAGUCCAAACAGGGGCCGAGGGGGUAUGACGUCACGAAUGGUAUGUUGCGACACUUUUCUAUCUAUAUUCUAGGAAUUAUUGUUUACGAUUAUGUUUAUGACUCUGUGGCACUAACGCUAUUUGAGCGCCGAUACCCGGCUGCUGGAAUGUAUGAUAUAUCGUAAGAUAACGUCUGGCGGGUAAGCUAAGUGUAGUACAAUUUUCAAACACCAUAAUCUGCGUGGUUCACCGUGCGGCACUUUUCUAUCUAUAUUCUAGGAAUGAAUAUUUAAAAAAUGAUUACGCAACCACGAACCGGAAACCAUUUGAGCGUUGACACUCGGCUGCUGGAAUGCGUGAUAUAUUUUAAGAUAAAACAUUCCAGCGGAUAAACCACGGGUCUGAAGAUUAUUACCUACGUUCCCAAAAUUAACAAUAACAAAUCCCCUCCUCACCAAGUUCCAUCUCUCACAAAUUUUUAAACCAAUCAGUUUUCACGCAAAGUCUCCACCCUCGCCUCUAACAAAUCGCUGGUCCUACUCUUAUUUUUUCUACUGGCUACAUGCAAAAGAUUUUUUCACAUUCAGUCAGUUGAUCGUCAGAGUGAUCGAAAAGUGUAGUGAACGAGAAAUAAGAAUAUGUGGGCCGCUUACCGAAGAGAAAUGGAGCUGCAACAGCAGGCCUGUGAAAACAUCGCGGAUAUCGUAAAGGUCCGAUACCCACAUACUGGGGUAAGUUACAUAUUCAAGAAACAUUGUUUAACGUCUACAGACUUUGUCUUUCAUUUCUUAUUUUAUGUGUUUCAGUAUAUAUGGGUGGGUGACCAGCCCUUCCAACAAGUGCAAUUAUACCGCGAGGUUGGUAUAAAAUUCGAUCCCUCCCCGGUAAGUAUAUACAUUCACCCGUACAUACUUGCAUAUAUUUAUACCGUUGCUUUUUCUUUUUUCCAGAUCAUAGAUCCGGUCAAUAUUAACAUCAAUGGAUUUGUAAACAUCCAACGCAGGAGAUGGGUUAGGUGGAUGCGUAAGGACAGGAAGCAGUACGCAAAUUAUUUUAAUAACAUGGUAGAAAAAUCCGUCGACGGUGAUGACAUCUUCCAUUUAAGAAAGCUGUUCGGGAUGGAGGGGUUGGGAGGAGGAGGAAGACUGGAAUGAUGACAUCGGUAUGUAAUUUAUUCAUUCUUUCAUUUAUUUUUAUACAACUGUUCUAUUACGAAUAUUAAACUAAUAAACUUUUUUGUUAAUCUUUCAGAAAUACCCUAUGGGGGAAAUUCCCAGACAAAGGAGUGGGACGAGGAGGAAUGGGUGGCAUGGGUAGAAGAAAAUUGGGAUGAUGACAUCGAUGCUAUAUUGGAGACAAUUGGAGAGGAUUUCCAAUCAAGAUUGAGGAUUGAGGAUGAUGAUGAUGAUGAUAUCCGUGAGUUAUUUUUUCUUUUCAACUGCAUUCUAUUAUGAAUAAGUGUAAUAACCAACUCGUUUCUUUUUACAGAAAUUGUAUUCGAGAGAAAGAGGUUGCGGAGGGACGACGACGAUGACGAGGAUGUCAUAUUCCUCUGUGAACGGAAACGCAUGAGGUUUACGGAGGAAGACGAUGAGGAGUGCGAGGAGGAGAGCGAAGAUGAGAGCGAAGAGGAGAGCAAGGAGUGCGAAGA
rnacentral:lncRNA from 1 species